UUAAGUGACUAAGCGUACACGGUGGAUGCCUUGGCAGUCAGAGGCGAUGAAAGACGUAGUAACUUGCGAUAAGCCCAGAUUAGGUAGUAACAACCAUUUGAGUCUGGGAUUUCUGAAUGGGGAAACCCACGUGCAUAAGCACGUAUCCUUACCUGAAUACAUAGGGUAAGGAGGCGAACCGGGGGAACUGAAACAUCUAAGUACCCCGAGGAAAAGAAAUCAACCGAGAUUCCGAAAGUAGCGGCGAGCGAAAUUGGACUAGCCCUUAAGCUUUACACGCGUUAGACGAACGGUCUGGAAAGUCCGACGAUACAGGGUGAUAGUCCCGUAGUUGACGACGUGUGUUCAGUGAAAUCGAGUAGGGCGGGACACGUGAUAUCCUGUCUGAAUAUGGGGGGACCAUCCUCCAAGGCUAAAUACUACUGACUGACCGAUAGUGAACCAGUACCGUGAGGGAAAGGCGAAAAGAACCCCUGUGAGGGGAGUGAAAUAGAACCUGAAACCGUGUACGUACAAGCAGUAGGAGCAGGCUUUGUCCUGUGACUGCGUACCUUUUGUAUAAUGGGUCAGCGACUUAUAUUCAGUGGCAAGGUUAACCAUCUAGGGGAGCCGUAGGGAAACCGAGUCUUAACUGGGCGUUCAGUCUCUGGAUAUAGACCCGAAACCAGGUGAUCUAGCCAUGGGCAGGUUGAAGGUUGAGUAACAUCAACUGGAGGACCGAACCGACUAAUGUUGAAAAAUUAGCGGAUGACUUGUGGCUAGGGGUGAAAGGCCAAUCAAACCUGGAGAUAGCUGGUUCUCCCCGAAAGCUAUUUAGGUAGCGCCUCGGACGAAUACUACUGGGGGUAGAGCACUGUUAAGGCUAGGGGGUCAUCCCGACUUACCAACCCUUUGCAAACUCCGAAUACCAGUAAGUACUAUCCGGGAGACACACGGCGGGUGCUAACGUCCGUCGUGGAGAGGGAAACAACCCAGACCGCCAGCUAAGGUCCCAAAUUACUACUAAGUGGGAAACGAUGUGGGAAGGCUCAGACAGCCAGGAUGUUGGCUUAGAAGCAGCCAUCAUUUAAAGAAAGCGUAAUAGCUCACUGGUCGAGUCGGCCUGCGCGGAAGAUGUAACGGGGCUAAGUAGUAAACCGAAGCUGCGGCAAUAUACUUUUGUAUAUUGGGUAGGGGAGCGUUCUGUAAGCGGUUGAAGGUGUGUGGUAACGCAUGCUGGACGUAUCAGAAGUGCGAAUGCUGACAUGAGUAACGAUAAAGGGGGUGAAAAACCUCCUCGCCGGAAGACCAAGGGUUCCUGUCCAACGUUAAUCGGGGCAGGGUAAGUCGACCCCUAAGGCGAGGCCGAAAGGCGUAGUCGAUGGGAAACGGGUUAAUAUUCCCGUACUUCUUACAAUUGCGAUGGGGGGACGGAGAAGGCUAGGUGGGCCUGGCGACGGUUGUCCAGGUUCAAGUGCGUAGGCUUAAGAGUUAGGUAAAUCCGGCUCUUUYUAAGGCUGAGACACGACGUCGAGCACCUACGGGUGUGAAGUCAUUGAUGCCAUGCUUCCAGGAAAAGCCUCUAAGCUUCAGAUUGUAAGGAAUCGUACCCCAAACCGACACAGGUGGUCGGGUAGAGAAUACCAAGGCGCUUGAGAGAACUCGGGUGAAGGAACUAGGCAAAAUGGUACCGUAACUUCGGGAGAAGGUACGCUCUYGAYGGUGAAGUCCCUUGCGGAUGGAGCURWYGAGAGUCGCAGAUACCAGGUGGCUGCAACUGUUUAUUAAAAACACAGCACUGUGCAAAAUCGUAAGAUGACGUAUACGGUGUGACGCCUGCCCGGUGCCGGAAGGUUAAUUGAUGGGGUUAGACUUCGGUCGAAGCUCUUGAUCGAAGCCCCGGUAAACGGCGGCCGUAACUAUAACGGUCCUAAGGUAGCGAAAUUCCUUGUCGGGUAAGUUCCGACCUGCACGAAUGGCGUAAUGAUGGCCACGCUGUCUCCACCCGAGACUCAGUGAAAUUGAAAUCGCUGUGAAGAUGCAGUGUACCCGCGGCUAGACGGAAAGACCCCGUGAACCUUUACUACAGCUUGGCACUGAACAUUGACCCUACAUGUGUAGGAUAGGUGGGAGGCUUUGAAGCACGUACGCCAGUAUGUGUGGAGCCGUCCUUGAAAUACCACCCUUGUAGUGUUGAUGUUCUAACGUCGACCCCUUAUCGGGGUUGCGGACAGUGCCUGGUGGGUAGUUUGACUGGGGCGGUCUCCUCCCAAAGAGUAACGGAGGAGCACGAAGGUGGGCUAAUCACGGUUGGACAUCGUGAGGUUAGUGCAAUGGCAUAAGCCCGCUUGACUGCGAGAAUGACAAUUCGAGCAGGUGCGAAAGCAGGUCAUAGUGAUCCGGUGGUUCUGAAUGGAAGGGCCAUCGCUCAACGGAUAAAAGGUACUCCGGGGAUAACAGGCUGAUACCGCCCAAGAGUUCAUAUCGACGGCGGUGUUUGGCACCUCGAUGUCGGCUCAUCACAUCCUGGGGCUGAAGUCGGUCCCAAGGGUAUGGCUGUUCGCCAUUUAAAGUGGUACGCGAGCUGGGUUUAGAACGUCGUGAGACAGUUCGGUCCCUAUCUGCCGUGGGCGUUGGAAGAUUGAAGGGGGCUGCUCCUAGUACGAGAGGACCGGAGUGGACGAACCUCUGGUGUUCGGGUUGUGUCGCCAGACGCAUUGCCCGGUAGCUAAGUUCGGAAUCGAUAACCGCUGAAAGCAUCUAAGCGGGAAGCGAGCCCUGAGAUGAGUCUUCCCUGAUACUUUAAGUAUCCUAAAGGGUUGUCGGAGACUACGACGUUGAUAGGUCAGGUGUGUAAGUGCUGUGAGGCAUUGAGCUAACUGAUACUAAUUGCCCGUGAGGCUUAACCAU
rnacentral:rRNA from 1 species